AGAGUUUGAUCCUGGCUCAGGACGAACGCUGGCGGCGUGCUUAACACAUGCAAGUCGAACGAGAAUCUGCUGAAGGAGGAUUCGUCCAACGGAAGUAGAGGAAAGUGGCGGACGGGUGAGUAACGCGUGAGGAACCUGCCUUGAAGAGGGGGACAACAGUUGGAAACGACUGCUAAUACCGCAUGAUGCAUAAGGGUCGCAUGAUCUUUAUGCCAAAGAUUUAUCGCUUCAAGAUGGCCUCGCGUCUGAUUAGCUGGUUGGCGGGGUAACGGCCCACCAAGGCGACGAUCAGUAGCCGGACUGAGAGGUUGAACGGCCACAUUGGGACUGAGAUACGGCCCAGACUCCUACGGGAGGCAGCAGUGGGGAAUAUUGGGCAAUGGGCGCAAGCCUGACCCAGCAACGCCGCGUGAAGGAAGAAGGCUUUCGGGUUGUAAACUUCUUUUAAGAGGGAAGAGCAGAAGACGGUACCUCUAGAAUAAGCCACGGCUAACUACGUGCCAGCAGCCGCGGUAAUACGUAGGUGGCAAGCGUUGUCCGGAUUUACUGGGUGUAAAGGGCGUGUAGGCGGGGCUGCAAGUCAGAUGUGAAAUCUCCGGGCUUAACCCGGAAACUGCAUUUGAAACUGUAGCCCUUGAGUGUCGGAGAGGCAAGCGGAAUUCCUAGUGUAGCGGUGAAAUGCGUAGAUAUUAGGAGGAACACCAGUGGCGAAGGCGGAUUGCUGGACGAUAACUGACGGUGAGGCGCGAAAGUGUGGGGAGCAAACAGGAUUAGAUACCCUGGUAGUCCACACUGUAAACGAUGAAUACUAGGUGUGCGGGGACUGACCCCCUGCGUGCCGCAGUAAACACAAUAAGUAUUCCACCUGGGGAGUACGAUCGCAAGGUUGAAACUCAAAGGAAUUGACGGGGGCCCGCACAAGCGGUGGAUUAUGUGGUUUAAUUCGAAGCAACGCGAAGAACCUUACCAGGGUUUGACAUCCUGCUAACGAAGUAGAGAUACAUUAGGUGCCCUUCGGGGAAAGCAGAGACAGGUGGUGCAUGGUUGUCGUCAGCUCGUGUCGUGAGAUGUUGGGUUAAGUC
rnacentral:rRNA from 1 species